GGACAAUAGCAUGGAAUCUAAUUGAUAGUUAUUAUACAGGCUUACCGUGGGAUCGUGAUUCAUUGAUGACGGCUCGGGAACCCUGGAGUGGAUAUUAUCAAGUAGAAAGCCCCAUAUGGGUCACAGCACAUACAACCCAGUUUGUUUAUCUUGGAUGGGUUUAUUUACGUCAUGGAUCUGGUGUUGGAUUUCUAGAAAAUGGUGGUAGUUAUGUAACUAUGACAACAGAUGAAUCCAUCAAUAAUGAUUUCGCAUUAAUUAUCGAAACCAUGACCCAUGACCAUUCAGCCUGUAUUCGACCACCAUUACCAUAUUACCCAGUAGCACCACAGAAUGUCACGUUUGUUCUCAAGGGAAAAUUUAUGGAUACGUUUGGAAGUUUAAAUGUCUGGUAUACCAAGCUGGGAUUUAACGGAGAACAGUCAACAUACUUUAAGCAACUGAAACCAGUUACAGUUACCAACAAUUAGUUUAAUCUGAGUCUAGGAUUGAAUGAAAUCUGGACAAUAACAAACGCUGGUAACGGUAACCAUGGAAUAACACCAACACCACCACCAUCAAAACCAUUUCCUCUACCAUAUAGAGAAAAUUUUGAAGAAUAUGUUGAUGACAGUGAAGCGUAUUAUUUUGCCCAGCAGUGUGGAGUUUACGAGAUUGUAACUGUGGAGAAACCGUAUAAUAAAGUGAUACGACAGACUGUAUUACAGGAACCAAUCGUAUGGUGUGAGACAGCUGCUUUAACAAAUAAAACGUUGAAUCUUAUUGGGGCUACAAACUGGACGGAUAUUUAUAUAGAAGCUGAUGCCCGUGUUAAUCAUGAUAACCGAACAUCGGGUGUUUUUCUGGCAGGAAGGGUAGAUAAUGCUGGAUGUACAAGUUACGCAGCACAGGGAAUAUUCUUCUUUAUCCAGCCAGCUGAUCAAACUUUCUCUGUGUCAUCAGAUUUACAAAUGAAGAAAGUAUUAGUGACCAGAAGAAAGUCAACGAGUAUCAGCAGUGACUGGAACAAAAUAUCGUUAUUGAUAUCUAAAACAUACAGUAUCGGAAUGGUAAACGGAGAGGAGCUGUUUAAUAUUACAAUACAAUCUGCUCCUGCCCAGGGUUUUGUCGCUCUUGGAACACAAGAUUUCGGAUCAGCUGAUUUUGAUAAUGUGAAUAUUACCAAUAUCCAAGAUGGAAUCCAUCGAUUAAAACAACUUCAAGAUCAGCGUUUGUAUUUCCAUAGAAACAAUUAAAUUAUAUUUUUAUUUCAA